rnacentral:lncRNA from 1 species
UUGUCGGUGGAAUGACCCCAGGUAGGGUCAUGACGAGAUACAACAGCCGACUUGGCAGAGGCUGGGCCGGCAUAUGAAAAUAGGCCGGCACUCCUAAGCCGACUUCUAAUAGGCCGACAUACAAAAGGUAUGUUGGCAUCACUACUUUGUCUUGUGUGUAUGCAGGACGGGCGGAGGCUUCCAGCCGGGAUAUGCCAACGGUCAUAUCCCGGUCCUCCGGUCAAAACUAAAGUCAUAUCCCUUUAAUCACGGAAAAGCAACCGGCGCACACGUCGCCAUGCGGGGC